UUAUUCAUUGAACAUCAUCCAAUCAGAAGAUUGAAGAAACAGAGGAGAUUGAUAUGAACGGCACCUUUUUUGCAAUCUUGACGACGUUUAGCGUGAGCAGGAUCAUCGGAAAGGUAACAAUCGAUCGGGUCAGAGGUGGCAGGGAAGGUGGGGUUGGGUGAAACAGCGGCAGCAGGGGACGAUGGGUGAUAAAGAGUGGAUAGGUUGCCCAUACUGGCAAUCUCUACCAAUUUUGAGAUGACAUGAAGAGUCUCAAAAUCCCUAAUUUUCAACAUUAUAUUCCACCUGUGCCCCAGCUCCUCUGUUCAUCGACAUCAUUGUGACUUUCUUUUAUAUAUGUAUCU
rnacentral:lncRNA from 1 species